rnacentral:rRNA from 1 species
GAUGAACGCUGGCGGCGUGCCUAAUACAUGCAAGUCGAGCGAACAGACGAGGAGCUUGCACCACUGACGUUAGCGGCGGACGGGUGAGUAACACGUGGAGAACCUACCUUUAAGCCUGGGGUAACUUCGGGAAACCGGAGCUAAUACCGCAUAAUAUCUUUAACCGCAUGGUUCAAGAGUGAAAGACGCUUUUGCAUCCAUCAAUGAAUAGAUCCGCUCGUCAUUAGUUAGUUGGUAAGGUAACGGCUUACCAAGGCAACGAUGCGUAGCCGACCUGAGAGGGUGAUCGGCCACACUGGAACUGAGACACGGUCCAGACUCCUACGGGAGGCAGCAGUAGGGAAUCUUCCGCAAUGAGCGAAAGCUUGACGGAGCAACGCCGCGUGAGUGAUGAAGGUCUUCGGAUCUUAAAACUCUGUUAUUAGGGAAGAACAAAUGUGUAAGUAACUAUGCACGUCUUGACGGUACCUAAUCAGAAAGCCACGGCUAACUACGUG